UACGUAGGGGGCAAGCGUUGUCCGGAAUCAUUGGGCGUAAAGCGCGUGUAGGCGGCUCGAUAAGUCUGCUGUGAAAGUCCAGGCUCAACCCUGGAAUGCCGGUGGAAACUGUCGAGCUAGAGUCCGGAAGAGGCGAGUGGAAUUCCUGGUGUAGCGGUGAAAUGCGCAGAUAUCAGGAGGAACACCAAUGGCGAAGGCAGCUCGCUGGGACGGUACUGACGCUGAGACGCGAAAGCGUGGGGAGCAAACAGG
rnacentral:rRNA from 1 species